rnacentral:lncRNA from 1 species
CAUAAAAAUAUUUAUUUAUGCAAUAAAGUAGGUUGCAUUGUGUAAUGUUAUGCCUUUAAAUCUAGCGCAUCGUAUAUAUAGAUAAUUUAAUAUUUAUUUUAUUUUCUAUAUUUUAUAAUGGCAUGUCGGUUUUUUUUUAUAAAAAAAAUCGGUUUUUUACUAUAAAAAAUCAUAAAAAUAUAUAAUUAUUUUACGUAGUGGACGUAAAUACUCUAAUCUAAUAAUGCUUAAAAUCGAUUAACUAAUUUUAAAAAGUUGAGACUAAACAUUAAACCUGAUCCCAGAACCAACAUAAAUAUUUAUGACGCAUAAAGAAUCAGUAAUGACAUAAGCAAAGUCGUGGAGUCAUAGAGUGUGUUUACCUUGGGAGAAAGUAGUCAACGAAAGAAGGAAGUAGACGACCGAAGAAUCCACAGGAAGAAGAGAAAGAGACCAAAGAAGAAACCGGAAAUUCGCCACGCGACUCCGCGAUUUGCCCCAAAUUGUUCAAAUAAACCAACCCGAUCGUCGCCCCACAGAAAU